UACGGAGGGGGCUAGCGUUGUUCGGAAUUACUGGGCGUAAAGCGCACGUAGGCGGCUUUGUAAGUUAGAGGUGAAAGCCCGGGGCUCAACUCCGGAAUUGCCUUUAAGACUGCAUCGCUAGAAUUGUGGAGAGGUAAGUGGAAUUCCGAGUGUAGAGGUGAAAUGCGUAGAGAUCCGGAAGAACACCGGUGGCGAAGGCGGCCUGCUGGGCAGUCGGGGGCAACCCCGGUUCAAGCUGACACUGAGGCGCGACAGCGUGGGGAGCAAACAGG
rnacentral:rRNA from 1 species